GCCUGCUUGGCGCAGUGGUAACGCGUAGCACUUGUAUUUAUUAGAGAUGCUAAGAUCAUUGGUUCGAUUCCAGUAGUAGGCA